rnacentral:misc_RNA from 1 species
CUUUUUACAAAUUGAUUCGUUACAUAAAUUCGUAUGGAUUACUGUACAUUAUAUUCUGAUAAGAUGUUUUAAUGUUUUAGUUAAUUUGCGUUAUAGCACUUUUCAAACAAGGUUACAUAGCUAUGUUAAUAAAGAAAUUAAUUCCGGAAAUUAUAACCAAAAAUACAUUGUUUGUACGAAACAUACGAUAAGUAAAGAACAAAUCAAAUUAUAUAACAAAUAACACAAAACAAUAUAUACUACAUAUGCAUAAAGUAGGCACAUGGAAAAUAUUUCGUAAUGUAAA